UGGCUCAAUCAUGUCUUCACAAACUGCAGCUGUUGUCAACAGUUAAGUUCAAUCACUUCACACCUGUUCAGUAUGUUGAGGGCCAAAUUAUUGAGGACAUGAUCUGAAGGUUUGUAGGAGACAGAGACGGAGAAACAAGCAGGAAACUCUUUUAAAGUUGCUGUAUGUUCAGGUUACAGUUACACACAUGUCAUCAGUGUGUUUCUCCUCGGCCUGAAGAAAGUUGCUGGUCGUCGGUCGCCGCCAUCUGCAGCCUGCUGGCCGGUCAGAAACUGCCCCCUUCCUCGGUGUCGUCCAACUGAACCGCGACAAUGUUCCACCACCGGUUCUUCUUCUAUUGUUCUUCUUCAGCUGUCAGCAGGGGGCGACACGCGCUCCUCAGCGGGACUGCCUGCUGUCAUCUUCCCCGGGACCGACGCACGUCCAGCCAGCUCCAAAGGGGAGAGCAUGAGGGGGUCCAGGCGUACAGGUUGGGGGUGUGCCAGAGGAGACUGGAGGGUCAUCACUGACGUCACUAAUGCGACACACCUGGGAGAGAGCAAUGGUGGAAAUGUUUGGCGGCGCCAUGCUCGGACUGUUCAAGCUAGACUGUGACAGUUUUGGAGCUCCGACAUCCACUUUGUAUUGUCUUUGACUGAAGUAACUAUAGUGUCCGCAUCAGGAGGAGGAGAGGCAGCAGCAGGAACAUGAGGGGUGACAGAGUUCAGUCCUGUAGCUACAGUGUGUCCACUGCCACUACAGACUGCCUCGCCAGGAGGAGAGUAGGCAGCAGCUCUGGAGCCCCAGCCAGCGGCUGCAGCAACCCGGACUCUACUAGUGCAAACCGCAGCUCCAGCGGACCAUGCAGCCCAGACUGCCCACCAGAUCAGCAAACUUUCUGUUGCUGCCAUUACACAGGUUAUCCUCGAUCCAAGUUGUGUCCUGAAUUGCCAAAACCAGCAGUGCCCGGAUGAGCAGACACAAGGCUGUUGUUCUGUCUGGAUCUAAGUGAUCGAUCAGAGGAGGCUACGAAGGAGCUGUUGGCUACAGACCCUGAGGGGUUGUUGUGAAAAUCAUCCCAACUGUGACACUGACUACAAAAG